UACAGAGGUCCCAAGCGUUGUUCGGAUUCACUGGGCGUAAAGGGUGCGUAGGCGGUUGGGUAAGUUUGACGUGAAAUCUCCGGGCCUAACCCGGAAACUGCGUUGAAUACUAUCCAGCUAGAGGAUUGGAGGGGAGACUGGAAUACUUGGUGUAGCAGUGAAAUGCGUAGAUAUCAAGUGGAACACCAGUGGCGAAGGCGAGUCUCUGGACAAUUCCUGACGCUGAGGCACGAAAGCCAGGGGAGCAAACGGG
rnacentral:rRNA from 1 species